rnacentral:misc_RNA from 1 species
AAGUCGUAACAAGGUCUCCGUAGGUGAGUUAUUAAUACCAAUCGAUUUCUUGUCUUCAAGUGGAACGAAACGCUAACGAAUUCUAGGUGAACCUGCGGAGGGAUCAUUACCGAGUGAGGGCCUCUGGCUCGACCUCCAACCCUUUGUAAUUGAAACCUCGUUGCCUCGGGGGUGACCCGGCCUUCGGACUGGGGCCCCGUCGGUCGGAUACACAACAUCUGCGUCUCUGCGUCUGAGUCUUAAAGUAAAUGAAUUAAAA